rnacentral:rRNA from 1 species
GACGAAGGUGGCGAGCGUUAUUCGGAUUUACUGGGCAUAAAGCGCGCGUAGGCGGCUCGGUCAGUCGGAGGUGAAAGCCCGCAGCUCAACUGCGGAACAGCCCCCCGAUACUGCCGAGCUUGAGUGCAGGAGGGGUGACCGGAACUCCAGGUGGAGCGGUGAAAUGCGUAGAUAUCUGGAGGAACACCAGAGGCGAAGGCGGGUCACUGGACUGCAACUGACGCUGAGGUGCGAAAGCUAGGGGAGCGAA